AUUAAUGUUUGAAUGUUCGCAUGCGCACUUCCUAUUCACUCACAGUCACUGGUGCCCCGAGUCUCCAUUCAUAGUACAAAGGGUAGGAAAUGGCAUAAUUACUCUAACACUAAACGAGACAAACAUGCUCUGCAAAGUGGGCUUUUAACAGUGGACUCUGGGGACCAAUGCACAACCCUUGCAUUUUUAGGUUACUUAUGUAUGUACAUGUUUAUUAAUUAUACUGUACCCAUGCAAUAGGACAAUAUAUACAUGGGUUAAUAACUAUGACAAAAUAAGACACAUCUAUAGUAAAGUGCUUAGAGCAGUGGACAGUCUAUGACAGUGCACACAUCUCAGAUCUGGUACUCCUAUAAAUCUAUAUAUUGUACAUUACGCACAGUCCACUGUUCAAAGCUCACUUUAAAGGACAUGCAUCUGUCUCAAAAGACAGAGGAAUCUAUCUAAAGCAGCCGUAGGGCGGCGACAAAUGUGAAAAGUGAAUCGUAAGUAAGAUUGUAUGAUAUUGAUUUAUGUGUGUUAUUGAUUUAAGUGUCACUGCAGAACCACGUUUUAAAUGUACAAGUAGGCUAUAACACAAAAUGUCCGUCAUGACAGAAUUAGGUGGCGGCGGUAGCUUGUCCCCUUUCUCUUAUUGUUACUUGUUAUUAAGUCACAUGGAUAAUAUCCCCAAAAAUCCUACGCCGGGCCACUGAGUCCGUGUCCAUUUCUGCUUAGACCGCUUCCGCGUUUGAUACGCAGCAUUUCCUGUUUGCAAAUGAAAGUGAAAGUAUUUUAAUGCUGGACUCUCCAGUUGUUAAUAAACACGGAUAAGAUUCUGUAUUGCAAGGCCCCAGCAUCAGUCAUCUGGUCUAGAUCGGCACAAAAAUGGAGCGAGCUGCUUCUGAAGUGACCCCCCCUGUGGAGUGUAAAACAAAGAGAGCUGAGAGUGUCCUGAUGGAGAGAGCAGGCUCACCUGUAACCAGCUGUGUUUCCAUGAAGAGUGACAGGUCAAUGGACCUACCAAUGAGCUUCAGAGAGGGACCUUUUCCUACAGGUCAAAGGGACGGAGUGAAUAGAUGUAAUUCACAGCCACAUAAAGGGGACUUAUCAUCCAUCUUCAAGGUGUGCAUUUAUUACUGAAGUAUAUUUUCUUGAAUUUCAUCUAAAUUGACAUAUAUCUUCUACAGAUGUAUAAUAAGUAGUUCAUCCUAUCAAAGAGAUGAUAUUUACAACUAAUCCUGCGUUCCAUUUACUUCGGAGGCCGGAACUCGGAGCUGGGAAUGACGUCACACCCAAGUUAACCUCGUUUCAGUACAGCAAGUCGGAAAGCCAUUUAGCAAAAUCAGGGACCU